UUCGCAAUGCCCGAAAGGGUGACGAAGCGACGCCGCGUGCGGGAAGAAGGCCUUCGGGUUGUAAACCGCUGUCGGGAGUUAAGAAAUGUAAGGAUGUUAAUAGCAUCUUUGCUUGACUAAGGCUCCGGAGGAAGCCACAGCUAACUCUGUGCCAGCAGCCGCGGUAAUACAGAGGCGGCAAGCGUUGUUCGGAAUUAUUGGGCGUAAAGAGCACGUAGGCGGCUAUGUAAGUCGGUUGUGAAAGCCUUCCGCUCAACGGGAGAACAGCAUCCGAUACUGCAUGGCUUGAGUGCGGGAGGGGAGAGUGGAACUUCUGGUGGAGCGGUGAAAUGCGUAGAUAUCAGAAGGAACGCCGGCGGCGAAAGCGGCUCUCUGGCCCAUAACUGACGCUGAGUGUGCGAAAGCUAGGGGAGCAAACGGGAUUAGAUACCCCGGUAGUCCUAGCCGUAAACGAUGGGCACUAAGUAGAGGGGUUUU
rnacentral:rRNA from 1 species